GGACUAAUAGUUUAAAUUAAAAUAGUUUAUUGCAAAUAAAUUGAUGAUUACUUCUUAGUCUU
rnacentral:tRNA from 1 species